rnacentral:tRNA from 1 species
GGCGGCAUAGCUCAGUUGGUAGAGCAUACGGCUCAUAUCCGUCAGGUCAUAGGUUCAAGUCCUAUUGCCGCUA